GGUGACGAACAUGUUCCGGAACUAGAUACUGGCGAUGGUCGCUCAACACGGCGAAGGUACUUAACACCACUGGGUUGUUUACUUCAGAACUGUUCAUUUUAUGUUGUCUGAACUUUACCUCAAUUAAAAAAAAUCAAGAAAGCAAGUGAGCGCGGCCACGCAGCUGCACGGCCCACUGCAGACCAGGCAGGGCGAGUUCGGAGCAGUCCCCGCUGCGCACAGAGCACGGCCGAGCCAGCCCCUCCCUGGGGUCCCGGAGGAGGCCGAGUGGCUCCGGCUGGGCUCAGGCUCUGAGCUGAUUUGCUUGUCCCCACCCUGCAGGACUGUGUCCCCGCUGUGCGUCAGCGCUGGCAGGGCUGUGGGUGCCAGUCGAGGAGGCCCUGGCGGAGCUCCGGGCAGAGGAAGGGCCACGGUCGGCAGGGCUGCAUGCAGACGGACGGACAGACGGACAGGUGGCGCUCUGGCCCAGCAGGCCCGGCACGAAGCCCCAGCUCUGUGGCCCUGAACUGCCACCUCCUCACGAGGAAAUGGAGCCAACCCUCCCACCGGUGGGAGAGUGAAGCCAGAAAACACGCUAAGAGGCAGGUGCAGGCGGGCGUGCAGGGCGGUGUCCCGCUGUCCUGGCUGCCUUUGGUUAUUUUCCACAAGCAGCGGGAAAACAGGGCCCGAGUGCCCGGAACAGCACCGGAGCCCAGCCAUGCAAACAGAGGCUUGAAAAUACGGCCAGGAAAGAUCAGCUUCCCUGUGCUCGCACUUGGCCUCAGGUGUACUGACGGGCGGACGCCGGCGCGAGGGGCGGGAGGGGACGGGAAAGGGCUGGGGACGCUCUGCUCCGCGCUGUCCUCGUCCCCAGGCACGCCCGCACGUUUCCAAGCCCUGCUCCAGGCAGUCUGGCAGCUGCUGCCUUUCCCUUAACGUGGCAGGCUCGAAUGGGAGCCUGGGGGAGAGAGGCGGGGGCAGAGAGGAAAACAAGGCUGGCGUGUUGGCAGCUGGCAGAGCCACCGCUCCACUGUGGCAGGAAGUUGAGGACGCCAGAGUCAGGACGAGGCCUGAGGAUGGUGACAGCUCCCACGGUUGCCAGCCCAGGGCUUCGCUGAGUCCUGUGUUGCCUUGACGGGGCCCCCCAAGGCAUCUUUCACGGAAGUCUCCUGCUUACCUGUCUCAUGCCACCUGUUUCCGGCCAGGACACUGACUGCUACCCCAAAUAGUGGCCAGGCAGAUGAAGAGACUAAGGAUCCGAGAGGCUGUAGGACUUGCUCAGGGUCUGGAAGAUAAGAAGCUUCAAAGCCAGGCUUGGACCCAUGUCUCAAUCUCCCAACCCCAAGCUGCCCCUAAGGAAGUCCAGAGUCAUGGGCAGUGCCAUCGUGUAAGUGUGUCCCCCCAAAUUUCAUGAGUUGUCCCCAAAGUGGCAAUAUUGAAAAGUGGAGCCUUUAACAGGUAAUUAGAUCAUGGGGGCUCUGCCCUGACAAAUGUAUUAACCCAUUCAUCAAUUCAUCAUUAAUCAAAUUCAUCAGCUAACGUAUUAACGAGCCAUGAUGGGGAGGGAGCUGUUGGCUUUACAUUAAG